AUUGAACGCUGGCGGCAUGCUUUACACAUGCAAGUCGAACGGCAGCACGAAAGAGCUUGCUCUUUUGGUGGCGAGUGGCGAACGGGUGAGUAAUGCAUCGGAACGUACCGAGUAAUGGGGGAUAACUAUCCGAAAGGAUAGCUAAUACCGCAUACGCUUUGAGAAGGAAAGUGGGGGCUCUUCGGACCUCACGUUAUUCGAGCGGCCGAUGUCUGAUUAGCUAGUUGGUGGGGUAAAGGCCUACCAAGGCGACGAUCAGUAGCGGGUCUGAGAGGAUGAUCCGCCACACUGGGACUGAGACACGGCCCAGACUCCUACGGGAGGCAGCAGUGGGGAAUUUUGGACAAUGGGCGCAAGCCUGAUCCAGCCAUGCCGCGUGUCUGAAGAAGGCCUUCGGGUUGUAAAGGACUUUUGUUAGGGAAGAAAAGGAUAGUGUUAAUACCAUUAUCUGCUGAC
rnacentral:rRNA from 1 species